rfam:Schistosoma mansoni strain Puerto Rico chromosome 6, complete genome
AUCCGGCUGACGAGUCUUAAAUAAGACGAAAUGCGCGUCAAACUGGAU